AGAGUUUGAUCAUGGCUCAGAUUGAACGCUGGCGGCAGGCCUAACACAUGCAAGUCGAGCGGUAGCACAGAGAGCUUGCUCUCGGGUGACGAGCGGCGGACGGGUGAGUAAUGUCUGGGAAACUGCCUGAUGGAGGGGGAUAACUACUGGAAACGGUAGCUAAUACCGCAUAACGUCGCAAGACCAAAGUGGGGGACCUUCGGGCCUCAUGCCAUCAGAUGUGCCCAGAUGGGAUUAGCUAGUAGGUGGGGUAAUGGCUCACCUAGGCGACGAUCCCUAGCUGGUCUGAGAGGAUGACCAGCCACACUGGAACUGAGACACGGUCCAGACUCCUACGGGAGGCAGCAGUGGGGAAUAUUGCACAAUGGGCGCAAGCCUGAUGCAGCCAUGCCGCGUGUGUGAAGAAGGCCUUCGGGUUGUAAAGCACUUUCAGCGGGGAGGAAGGCGNNCGAUUGACGUUACCCGCAGAAGAAGCACCGGCUAACUCCGUGCCAGCAGCCGCGGUAAUACGGAGGGUGCAAGCGUUAAUCGGAAUUACUGGGCGUAAAGCGCACGCAGGCGGUCUGUCAAGUCGGAUGUGAAAUCCCCGGGCUCAACCUGGGAACUGCAUUCGAAACUGGCAGGCUAGAGUCUUGUAGAGGGGGGUAGAAUUCCAGGUGUAGCGGUGAAAUGCGUAGAGAUCUGGAGGAAUACCGGUGGCGAAGGCGGCCCCCUGGACAAAGACUGACGCUCAGGUGCGAAAGCGUGGGGAGCAAACAGGAUUAGAUACCCUGGUAGUCCACGCCGUAAACGAUGUCGAUUUGGAGGUUGUGCCCUUGAGGCGUGGCUUCCGGAGCUAACGCGUUAAAUCGACCGCCUGGGGAGUACGGCCGCAAGGUUAAAACUCAAAUGAAUUGACGGGGGCCCGCACAAGCGGUGGAGCAUGUGGUUUAAUUCGAUGCAACGCGAAGAACCUUACCUGGUCUUGACAUCCACAGAACUUUCCAGAGAUGGAUUGGUGCCUUCGGGAACUGUGAGACAGGUGCUGCAUGGCUGUCGUCAGCUCGUGUUGUGAAAUGUUGGGUUAAGUCCCGCAACGAGCGCAACCCUUAUCCUUUGUUGCCAGCGGUUAGGCCGGGAACUCAAAGGAGACUGCCAGUGAUAAACUGGAGGAAGGUGGGGAUGACGUCAAGUCAUCAUGGCCCUUACGACCAGGGCUACACACGUGCUACAAUGGCAUAUACAAAGAGAAGCGACCUCGCGAGAGCAAGCGGACCUCAUAAAGUAUGUCGUAGUCCGGAUUGGAGUCUGCAACUCGACUCCAUGAAGUCGGAAUCGCUAGUAAUCGUAGAUCAGAAUGCUACGGUGAAUACGUUCCCGGGCCUUGUACACACCGCCCGUCACACCAUGGGAGUGGGUUGCAAAAGAAGUAGGUAGCUUAACCUUCGGGAGGGCGCUUACCACUUUGUGAUUCAUGACUGGGGUGAAGUCGUAACAAGGUAACCGUAGGGGAACCUGCGGUUGGAUCACCU
rnacentral:rRNA from 1 species